UACGUAGGGGGCAAGCGUUGUCCGGAUUUAUUGGGCGUAAAGAGCGUGUAGGCGGCCGGGUAGGUCCGUUGUGAAAACUCGAGGCUCAACCUCGAGACGCCGAUGGAAACCCUCCAGCUAGAGUCCGGAAGAGGAGAGUGGAAUUCCUGGUGUAGCGGUGAAAUGCGCAGAUAUCAGGAAGAACACCCGUGGCUAAGGCGGCUCUCUAGUACGGUACUGACGCUGAGACGCGAAAGCGUGGGGAGCGAACAGG
rnacentral:rRNA from 1 species